UUCGACCCACCGGCCGACUCUUAGAGAAGUAGCAAUGUCAUUAGUCUUACCAUCAAUUUUUUUAUUGGGAUCAUCACUUCCGAAAGACUACCCGUCCCACCCUACCUAGGCCUGAUGUCAAGUCUAAGGGAGCUCUAUGACAAGGAUAAAACUAACGUUUUUAGUAAUAUAUAACGUCCCACCUAUCGUUCAAGAGGAAUUGGACUUUGCUAUUUUGAAUUUGCAUUCUAGACGAAAAGAAAGCUAUGUUGCCUAGAACUCGAAACGCGUAACAAGUAGGACGUCACGUAGCACAUAAUUCUCCCAAGUUAGCCUCUUGAUUAAUUAACGUUAAUUAAUGUGAUUAACAUACAGAGACAAAUAAUUAUUUAUUUUGUGUCAUAGACCUAUAGGCAUGAUAUCUAAGUGUUCAACAACUGAUUUAAUAUGACAAAAAUAACUGUGACUCGUGUGUUUAACAAAGUGUUAUUAAGUGUUAACAAAAGGGUGUCAAAAGUAUGGUAAAUAUGUGAACUAAGUGCUAUAAACUAAAAAAUUAACAAAAAUAUUAAAAUGCAUUAACAUGUCUUGUGAACACAAUGAUGUACUUAACCUAGUGUUUAAUCUGUUGAAAGUGCUCAAAAAUUUAUAUUUUAAUAUACUGACAAUUGUGUUAAUGCAGGAAUAUAAUGCAAUAACAUGCUAAAAUGCCAAACACUUAAUGUUUUAACAUGGUAAAAUAUGUUAGAAUUUAAUGUUAACAUGUUUAAAUUAACACUAACAUGCUGAAAGUUAAUGUUUAUCAUACGAGAAGUUAUUAUUCAUGCCUGAAAUUCAAUUAAACAUGUUGGAAUUGUAUUCUUAAUAUGGGAACAUACUAAACAAAAUGCAGACAUGCUGAAAAGUGUUUCAUCAUGCUGGGAGUAUUAUUAAACAUUCUGAAAAUUACAUUAAAUAUGCUAGAAAUCAUGGUUAAUGCACCGAAUUUCACGCUAACAAACUGAAAGUAGUUCUGAAAUGUUGAAACUUUAUUUAAUCCUAAUGUUUGACCAUAUUAACAUGCCAACGUUUAUUUUAAUGUGCAGAAAUCAAAUACUAACAUGUUCUAAUAAUGUUAACAUGCUGAAAUUAAUUUAAAAUUGCUGAAAAUUAAUCUAAACAUGAUGGAAAUUAAUCUAAGUUGCUGAAAAUUGAUUUAGACAUGUAGAAACUUGAUUUAAACGUGCUGAAAAUAUUAAAUACGUUGUUCAACAUGCUGAAAAAUGCUCAAGUAAGCAGAAAAGUGUUUAACGUAGUAACUUGCAUGUUAAGAUGCGAAAAUGCUCGAAUUAAUUGUUAAUCGCGUAGGAAAGUAUUACCAUGACUAUAGUCAACUUUAAUAUACUAACAUGCUGAAAAAUAUUUAGGCGUGCCUAAUUCUAACAUUCAGCAUGCAAACAAAUAUGUUAAUAUGCAAGAAUUUAUUAGGUGACAUAAUAAAAUGCUUGAAUUUGGAUUAACAUGUAACGACAUGCUUGAUGUAUUAAUGUAUGGACAUGCUAAAUAUGUUAAUUCUUAAUGUCAAUUUAAGAGCCUCAGAGUAAAUUUUCAAGCAAAUUUGGUAAAUCGUAGAUUAAGCGUCUAAAUGAUGCGUAUGUUAAUAGAUCCUAAGAUUAUGUGCCUAAAUGAUUCACGUAUGCAUAAAACCUAUGCCGCGCCUAUCUAUACUAUUAAUAGAGCAUGUAGAUCCCCGCUCUCCGAGCAGCCCCCAAUAAUUAUUAUUACAAUAAUAAUAACGUUUAUAUAGAGUUAUUACAACACCAAGAAUCAAAAGUAAAUAAAUGAACAAAGAAAAAGGUGUAGCUCUCCCCCCACGAACUUUUCGACGACUCUUCAAAUACCCGAGACUGUCUAUUUAUACCUGUGAGACAAUAUGUAAUAGCAAUACAAACGGAAAUAUAACAUGAUAUAGACAUAGCAAGAAAACACUGAAUGAUUCCUAUAAGCAUGUUUACCAUCAUCAUUAUAUAAGGUAUAUAAAAUAAAAUUACGUCGAUAGGGAACUAACCGGUUGAUGAUAACAAAUAAUAAUAAUAACACUUUUAGUAAAGAGAAAGUGUAUGUUGUGUGAUGUAACUUGUUCCAAAUAAUAGGAGGAGGGUUGUUUAUAUAGUUGUGAAAAAAUCAGUCAGCCCAAGCACAAAAGGAAACAAAAACUUGAUGUAUUCAAUCAAUGAAAGUCCUUUCCUUAAAUAUCCAAAUCACUAUUAUAUUCGUCAACUAAAUUAAUCAGCCCACGCAUAAAAAGGAAAAAAGAAUAUUUUAUCAAUCAACAAUGAAAGGAAAAAUAUUUUAGAGUUAGUUAAUCAAUCACGAAGAGAAGAUUGUCUUAAUUAUCAUAAAUCAGUGAGCAAAAAAAAUAUGUAGAAAAUCUAUCCAUAUUUAAAUAUGUGGGAAAAUCAGCUGGAUAAACGAGCACUUACCAUAAUUAACAGAUUGUCACCAAAACAGAUUUCACAAAACCCAAGCAAUUAGUCCAUAGUUAACAGAUUUUCAUCCAAACAGAUAGUCCAAUUUCACAAAAAUCAAGCAAUUAAUCUCAAAGCAACUUACCAAAAGAAAAAGAUUUACUAUGUACGGGCACGGGUUGAUGUAAUUACGCACAAACUCAAAUCCCAACUGUAAAAAAUAAUCUUCUAGUGGAUCAAGACGAAAUUCAAAAUCCAAGCUUGUCAAGACGAUCUUAGCAUAAAAGCGAUUUUGAAAAUCAGUUUCAAAUUAAACACGGAAACCAAAUCACCAUAUCAGGGUCACCCACGGAAAACUAAAAAUUCAGCUUAAAUUCAACAUACUAAAAGCGAAAAGGAAAGCAAGGUCUAGGGGGUUUUGUAUAGCCACACAAGGACACAAAUAAGCACGUAAUUAAGGCAUUGAAUCAGAAUUCGGACUCAAACAUCACGAAUUUCACAUUAAAAUGAAAUAAGAACAACUUUCAGUCGAGGGAUGCAAACCUGAGAACCAUUACAAAAUUUACACCUCUUUUUCUUGUCAAAUUUGGCUGGAAUAGUCGGAUCGCUAGUCGGAGUUCGUGGGUGGGCGAAGGCGCGCAUGGAGGUGAGAUUCCAGCGGCUGGCAGAUGGGUUGAAUUACGGCAGCGAUGGUGGCUUCGUCGAAGGGAUCCCUCAAAGGGAAGCGACGCGUGGAUUGUUUCACCAGCGGUUGCUAGCGGAUCUGGGGGCGGCCGGAGGCAGCGAUGGUGUUGGCGUUUUGAGGGGCUUCACCGGCUUACUUUGCCGGUUGCAUGGCUUCGACAGGGAGGCGAGGGAAAGACGGCAGCGGAGGUGGUUGUUUUGUUGAUGGCUCAUGGUGGAUCUGGGGUUUGUACAUCGACGGGGGGUUCGCCGGUGAAAAAGGACAAGGGGAGAGAGGAGGAAGGGGAGUGGUGGAGCGGCGGCAGCCGUCCAUCUGAGUAGGAAGAUGAUGGAGGGGCCGCAGCACCUCCAUUGAUGGUGAAGAGGUCUGAGAGAGAGAGAGAGAGGUAGAUGGUGAGUGAAUGAGAUUAGGGUUAGGGUUUUUGAUGUCUUAAUAGGAAAGAAAUAGAUCAUUUAAUCUCAGCCUUCAGAUUAGUUUUUAUCGACGGCUGAUAUUUAAAGGUUUGAUCAAAAUUAUAAUUUAGAAAUGAGUCACCAAAUUGGCUAUAUUUGUAAUGAAAAUGACUAAAAUUAUAAUGACUUGAGUUAAAAUUGAGGCUAAAAGAUAAACAAAUUAGGCAAAGGUUUCAAUUUAGGCUGUUAUUUAAAAUAUGGCUGGGAUGAUAAAUAAAUAAAAAUAACAAUAACAAUAAUAAUAAAUAAUAAUAAUUAAUAAUAAUAAUAAUAAUAUUAAUAAUAAUAAAUAAUAUUUAUAAUAACAAUAAUAAUAAAUACUAAUGGAAAAUCGGAUAAUGUAUUUGCAAAAAUAUGAGUAUGCACAGUUACGAAUAGUUUAAUAAAACUAUGUAAAUGUCGUACUUGAGUUUUAAAAUUAUACUAAAAUAAAUAAAAAAUAAUUUGUACAUUUUCUAAAAUUAUUAAUGUGACACGUCAAAAAUCUGUUUUAUGUAAGAAAAAUGUGUAAAAAAUUUACUAACAUUUAAAAUUAGUAAUUUUAGCUAAAAUAACAGCCUAAAAGGAAUCUCGAGAGGUCAAAAUUGGGUGUCAACAGAUGCCCCUUCGUUGUUUGAGAAUGAUAAAAGAAUUGUCAAGCAACGAAAGUUGACGUAGUAGUCAAUUUUGUCCGACCGAGAAAGAUUUGUUGGAAUUAAAGCAACAGGAGGUGGUUGAAAAUAGUGUGGCCUAGACUUCGAUUUCAAGUCGCCUAUAUAUCUCUGGUUUUAUGAGAAUCAGGCCAUUUAUAGUUCUAGAUUUAGGAACGAACAAUAUUCUUGAAGAUUGUUAAUAAAAAAGAAUAGGGGCAUCAACAACGGUAUCGCAGGUCAGUGAGACGGUAAUGAAUAGGAUUUGGGAGUGAUGACAUAUGGAGAAGUUUGAAAAUAUUAAGGUACGUGAGAUGAUGGAUGAAUAGAUGGGGUAAUAUUCCAAAAACAAAAACGAACAUUGUCCCUGUUUGUUAUUCCUUCUCUAUUUCCUACGUCUUUACAUCGCACUAAAUAACAAAGGUUAGACAUGUAAGAAAUAAGCAAUUGAUAAACGUAAUGUAAAUGCGAAACUUAAGAAAGUAUAUCUGUUGCAUCAUGGAAUCGUGUGAUCAGUUGCUUGGCUUCUCCUCGUGGGAUCAAUUUUUGGCUUCUUGGUGUACUGUGGAAUCGUGUGAUCAGCUACUUGGCUUCUCAUUGUGCGAUCAGCUUUUGGGCUUCUCGAUGCAUUGUAGAAUCGUGUGAUCAACUACUUGACUUCUCAUCGUGCAAUCAGUUUUUGGGCUUCUCGAUACAUUGUGGAAUCGUGUGAUCAGCUACUUGGCUUCUCAUCGUGCGAUUAGCUUUUAGGCGUCUCGAUGCAUUUUGGACAUGAUCAGCUACUUGGCUUCUCAUCAUGCGAUCAACUUUUGGGCUUCUCGAUGCAUUAUGGAAUCGUAUGAUCAGCUACUUGGCUUCUCAUCGUGCGAUCAAUGUUUGGGCUUCUCGAUGCAUUAUGGAAUCUUAUGAUCAGCUACUUAGCCUCUCAUCGUGCGAUCAAUGUUUGGGCUUCUUGAUGCAUUGUGGAAUCAUGUGAUCAACUACUUGGCUUCUCAUUAUGCGAUCAUCUUUUGGGCUUCUCGAUGCAUUGUGGAAUCGUGUGAUCAACUACUUGGCUUCUCAUUAUGCGAUCAGCUUUUGGGUUUCUCUAUGCAUUGUGGAAUCGUAUGAUCAGCUACUUGGCUUCUCAUCGUGGGAUUGUGAUCUGUACCUACCAUUUUUACCUUGACUCGGCAGAAAUGAUUAGUGUGAAUAUAUGUACGUGUAUAGAAAAUCAACCAUUGUAGCAAACGACCAUAAUGGUAAUGAUAAUAGAAGAUAAAAAGCGUAUUUGUCAUGUUGUUGAAUCAACUGUGAGGCUUCUCAUCAUGAUAUUGGGUUGUCUAUUGUGUCCCUCGUGAUCAAGUGAUUUGUACCUGUUAAUCCUGCUAUUUUUAAACUCAACUAGAUAAAAAUGGUUAGCAUGGAUAUAUGUGUAAGUAUAGAAUAUUGAACAACGUAGCAAAAACAACCAUAACAAUAAUGAUAAGAAGAGAUAAGAAAGCGUGUCUAUUAUACUUUUAGAUUAGUUGUUGGGUCUUCUCGUCAUGAGGGCCUCUCGUGAUGGAGUGACUGUUGUCAUCUGUACUUAUUAAUCUUGUGUUCAAAGACAAGUCCGCAGUAAAAAAGAAACGUGGAUUUGUACCAUGCUCGAGUCGACUCCUUGGUCGUUGUUUUCUACUUUAUGAACCGUUGGAAUUUGUACUCCAUCGUGAUGAAAUUUUUGAGGAAUUCUAAAUUUUUUUUACCUUAGAAUAUAAAGUGCCUUUUCGCACAUCAUACUGAAUGAAUAUAUUAUUUACUCGUGAAAUUUUGUAGGAAAUCUUAAAAAUUUUUGCCCCAAUUUAGAUUGACAAGGCGUCUUUUGCACGUCAUUGUGAAUGAAUAUAUUGUUUACACGUGAUAUUUUUUGAGUUUUUUCUUGAAACCUCAAAAAUUCUGGCCCAGUUUUUGUCUUCAAAGUCUUAUAUUCCUGUACCACUCAAAGAAAACAUUAGUCCAAGAGAAAUGGUUGUCCUACAUUUGAAUAUCGUAACCUCAAUUGUAAUCCACCUUUAUAUGCUCAAGAGUUAGGCCGAUUAGCCGACGAUUUGUAAGAGUUUGAAAGAGAGGGAAAAGAAAAUGUUUUAUUAGAUUAAAACUGACCCAGAGUGAACUGCCUACGUAUCCAAAUGGAAUUCAGGUCGAAUGUAGUUCAUGAGUACAAAGAAAUGUAGAGAAAACAAGAAAAUAUUUCUAGCCAUAUGGCGGGUAAAAUAGUAACGUGAAACAGGAACGUUAAUUCAUGUGAUGCAUUUUAUGUUUCUUUCGAGAACGUCUUGGAUCUUGUUGGACAGAGUAGGAUUGGAUAUGAUGAGCCCUGUUUCGAGGACCAAAAAUAGCGUGGGUCUCAUUAUUUUGGUAACCUUAUGUUGGAGGUAUGAAGGGUGAUGAAUCCUCUUUCUCUUCCUUGGGUGGAUUAUUCGUUUCAUAUUCUAAUUUCUUUCCAAUAGAAAUUAGACUCUUAAAGCUGUGAUUGACCAGGAAGAACAUUUUCUGGAAGUAUAUUUCAUCUAGUGUCUUGAGAAAAAUUUGAACCAAUUCCUCCUCAGGUACAUAAGGAUGCAUUUUGGAAGCCUCUAACCUCUAUCAAUGGCAUAUUCCUCAAAAGAUUCAUGGGCCGCUCUCUUCAUCUCAAGCAAUUCCCGUAUUGUUGGACCAACAUUGAUGUUGGACUUAUAUUUCCCCAUAAAAUCUUGAGCCAAUUCUUCCCAGUUUUGCCAUUUAUUGAAGUCUUGUUGGGCGAAGCAUAUGAGUGCCAUUCCUGACAAACUUUGAAUAAACAAUCUCAUAAGAAGAGGCUUAUUGUGCCCUAUGCCAAUUAGUCUACCACAAUAGCCCUUCAGAUUUUUGAUCGGAUCUCCAUGCCCAUCGAAUGUGUUGACCUUGGAAACUUUGUAUCCUAGAGGUAAAUCAAUCCACAGAUGUAUGCAUAAUUUCUCAUACCUUAAGUCGUAGAUACCCCUAGAACGCAAUUCCUCAUUUAACCUUUUCUCUAGGUCACGAAGCCUUUGCCAACGUUUAUCUAAAUUGAUCCUUUCACUUUUAGAAGUGUCACGUGUAAAAGAAAAUUAUUGAGAAGGUGUGUGGGUAAGGCGAGAACGAGGACAAGGAGGCGUAGUGUUUUGCCUUGGGCGAUGAGAAAGAGGAUUGAAAACUUUUAGGAUAUUGAGCAUAUUUGUCAUGUUGCAGAUUGUCACUUGAGUUCAAUUUUCAAAGGCUAGACAACCCUUAAAUAAAAUAAGCAAGAGAAACAACAAUUAUCACAAAAUGCAUAAGUUUAAAACGUAAUAAAUAUAAAUAAAAGGCAUUCUAAGAUGAAUACUAAGCCUUAAUAAACAUUCUAGGCGUACAGAUUUGAGCUCGUAACGCAUGAAAUAUAAUAAUGACAGAACAUAAUGGUAAUUUGCAAUUGUGAAUGUAAAGAAGAUAAGCAAGAUAGGAAAUGAGUAAGGUCGACUUUCAUUGAACAUCAAAUUUGUUGAUUCAUACAUCACAUUGUUGAUUCAUCCAACUUCGUAUAGAAAAGAACAAAAUGGGAAAAAAUAACACUUUAUUAUGAUGAGACCGAACUCAUAAAUGAGCGCCUACGUAUCCCUCAUAUAGGAGAAUCAGGUCAACCAUAGUUCACAUUACAUAAGAAAGGAAGACAUAAAAAGAAAACUAUAGAAUGUAAAACUUGAAGGAAUUUCUAACAUUGUGAGUCUGGAGUGGAGAUCAACAUGAUAUCCUCGACACCAAUGUAGGACCCUUGCAAGUCAAGCCUAGUAAAUCAAUCAUCAUGAUUUGGCUUUAUUACACUUAUCACUUUGUCAUCAAUCAGCGAUUGAAUUUUGUCUUUCAAAGUUUUACACUCUUCUAUGGCGUGUCCUUUCAUCCCUGAAUGAUAAUCAAGAUUUUUAGAACGAUCAAGCUAUGGUGCACAUGUGUUCAUGACAAUACAGGUAUAAGAGUGAUGUAGCCAGCCAUCCUUAGUCUCUCAUAAAGUUAAGCUAUGGGCUCAAUCAAAGGAAUGUACUAUCUUGGAAGAUUUUUUUGAAGCUUACGUUGAGAUUUGGUGGAUUUGUUAGAUUAUUGAUUUGUGAGAGGACUUGGGUAAAAAACUGGAAUAUAGUCUGUGAAAGAGGUUUUGUGAAGGAAUGAGGAUGAUAGGCUUGGACAUAAUUAGAGGUUGGGAUGAUUUCUGGAGCUGGGUACCAUAUCAGUUGAGGUUGAGGUGCGCUUACUUCAGGCUUUGAAGGUUUGAAUAUCUCAUCGAUGAUCGUCUUUCCCUUAUUCUUAGAUUGUGGCUUAACCAAAUUUGCCUCAGCUAUGAACUUCCUUUUUAGCUUAUUGUCGAACAGCCUAAUGAAGUCAGUUGUCAAAUGAUUCCAAGAAACCCAGUUGCUAGGGCCUUUGUUUGCGUACCACAUCAAUGCUGGACCUGUAAGUGAAUAAACAAAGAGCUUCAUCUUGAGACCAUCACUUUGCCCUAUAACUGCUAGUUCAUUAAGAUAGGCCUUCAAAUGGCAAUGAGGGUUUCCUGACCCGUCAUACAGUGAAAAGUUCAGGUCCACAAUUUUAUCCUUGUCUUCUUCCCUUGAUUUGGGUGACUUAUUCAUUUUGGGAUGCUGAGAUGAUCUUGCCUCAUGGUUAGGGACCUGUCCUUCCAUCUUUUUAUCCUCACUCAUAUUUGUUAACUCAAUAAUUUCCUUUAGCAAUGCAAUUGAAAAUUGACUUGGGGACAUGGACGUAUCAUGAUCAGAUUUUGGUGAAGUUGUCAGCAUAGGGACUCCGUGGUGUGGAUAGGAGGAAUGAAAUCUGCUUCAGAUAGCGGCUCUAAAAAACCUGAUGGUAUCUCAGUGGCAUCUCAACCGAACCUCGAAUAUCAUUUAUUAUUCCCCUAAUUAGUUUAUCCUUCUUCCUAACCUUUUGAUGCUCAAAAUGACUCUGUUUUGAUGCAACCCCAAGAUUUCAUGCUUAGCUUCGCUAUUGACAAGAUUGAUAAGCAUCGCUUGACUGGACAUUUUUGAUUUUCAAGUAUAGUCAACCUUAGAAGAAAGGAUUUAACAAUUAGGAACAAGGAGCACGUGCAGAGGUUUAGAAUAAAUAUUCUACUCAUUUGAACAUAAUGAGUUAUGCUCGUUCGGAGUGAAUAGACAUUAUGAGAGCUCUAUGUGACUUAGAGGUUGUAAAAGGUAGAGUAAGAAAUGAGUAUGAGGAUGAUAGUAUGUAAACGUUAGAAGCAUUAGGAAGAGGAUAUCCUAAACUAAUAAGUUGCACAAAGAAAUUGUGAAUGAGACUAAAACCCUUUAUCAAAGCGAGAGUUGAGCCUAGGGAUAAUUAGUCUACUAACAGAUGAGUCAGGAGGAUAAUUGAAGGAAAGUAUUAAAUAGGCCUAAGAGUGUAUUGUAGGGACCUAACAUGAUGAGAAUUUUAAGAGUAAAGAGUUCUAAGGUAAGGAACACUAAAUGUAAGGAGUGACUAAGGUAAGAACGGAAUCAACAAGAUAGGCAAGAUGUCAAUACAUACAUAGAAAUGCAACACAUAGCAAAUAAUUGUGAGUCUUUUUGAGGUCGUGAACCUCUUUGGACUCUGAAUGAGACAAACAUUAAACCCGUCAAGGAUACCAAGGCAUCUUAUGUUGAAUGGGACGUAUAUUCCUUAAUAAAAGAAAUAUGUAGCCAAGAUCUAAAGGCAAGAGUAGGUUUAUGACAUAGUUCCCUCGAGUGGACAACUUGAGAGUGGGAAAGCUUGUGGCUGUCAACGCACCACUGAUCGACCAAUCCACAUGCUAACAUAUGUUAACAAUGCAAGAAUUUAUUUAACAUGUUUAAAUUAACACUAACAUGCUGAAAGCUAAUGUUUAUCAUACGAGAAGUUAUUAUUCAUGCUAGAAAUUCAAUUAAACAUGUUGGAAUUAUAUUCUUAAUAUGAGAACAUACUAAAAACAAUGCAGACGUGUUAGAAAGUGUUUCAUCAUGCUGGGAGUAUUAUUAAACAUUCUGAAAAUUGCAUUAAAUAUGCUAGAAAUUAUGGUUAAUGCAUAGCAUUUCACGCUAACAAACUGAAAGUAGUUCUAAAAUGCUAAAACUUUAUUUAAUCCUAAUAUUUGACCAUAUUAACGUGCCAAGGUUUAUUUUAAUGUGCAAAAAUUAAAUACUAACAUGUUCUAAUAAUGUUAACAUGCUGAAAUUAAUUUAAAAUUGCUGAAAAUUAAUCUAAACAUGCUAGGAAUUAAUCUAAGUUGCUGGAAAUUGAUUUAGACAUGCAGAAACUUGAUUUAAACGUGCUGAAAAUAUUAAAUACGUUUUUCAACAUGCUGAAAAAUGCUCAAGUAAGCAGAAAAAUAUUUAAUGUAGUAACUUACAUGUUAAGAUGCGAAAAUGCUCGAAUUAAUUAUUAAUCACGUAGGAAAGUAUUACCAUGCCUAUAGUCAAUUUUAAUAUACUAACAUGCUGAAAAAUAUGUAGGCGUGCCUAAUUCUAACAUUCAACAUGCAAACAAAUAUAUUAAUAUGCAAGAAUUUAAUAGGUGACAUAUUGACAUGCUUAAAUUUGGAUUAACAUGUAACGACAUGCUUGAUGUAUUAACGUAUGGACAUGCUAAAUAUGUUAAUGCUUCAUGUCAAUUUAAGAGCCUCAGAGUAAGAUUUCUAAGCAAAUGAUGUGUAUGUUAAUAGAUCCUAAGAUUAUGUGCCUAAAUAAUUCACGUAAGCAUAAAACCUAUGUCAUGCCUAUCUAUACUGCCGCUCCCGAACAAUCCCCAAUAAUUAUUAUUACAAUAAUAAUAACGUUUAUACAGAGUUAUUACAACACCAUGAAUCAAAAGUAAAUAAAUGAAUAAAGAAAAAGGUGUAGCCCUCCCCCACGAACUUUUCAACGACUCUUCAAAUAUUCGAGACUGUCUAUUUAUACCUGUGAGAACAUAUGUAAUAGCAAUACACCGAAUGAUUCCUAUAAGCAUGUUUACCAUCAUCAUCAUGUAAGGUAUAUAAAAUAAAAUUACGUCGAUGGGGAACUAACCGGUUGAUGAUAACAAAUAAUAAUAAUAACAAGAAAACCAAACAGCCAGAGAUCCGAGAGUGAAUUGUCACUGAAAGGUCAAGAUUAAUGCUCCAAAGAUGAGUGCUAAAAAUAAUGAAGUAAAAUUGCCUCUUCUUUGUUUAACACUUUUAGUAAAGAGAAAUUGUAUGUUGUGUGAUGCAAUUUAUUCCAAAUAAUAGAAAGAGGGUUGUUUAUAUAGUUGUGAAAAAAUCAGUCAGCCCAAGCACAGAAGGAGCAAAAACUUGAUGUAUUCAAUCAAUGAAGUACUUUCCAUAAAUAUCCAAAUCACUAUUAUAUUCGUCAACUAAAUUAAUCAGCCCAUGCAUAAAAAGGAAAAAGAGAAUAUUUCAACAAUGAAAGAGAAAAUAUUUUAGAGUCAAUUAAUCAAUCAUGGUGAGAAGAUUGUCUAACUAAUUACCAUAAAUCAGUGAGCAAAAAAAAAUAUGUAGAAAAUUUAUCCAUAUUUAAAUAGGUGGGAAAAUCAGCUGGAUAAAUGAGCACUUACCAUAAUUAACAGAUAGCCACCAAAAUAGCUUUCACAAAAACCAAGCAAUUAGUCCAUAGUUAACAGAUUGUCAUCCAAACAGAUAGUCCAAAAUUUCACAGAAAUCAAGCAAUUAAUCUCAAAGCAACUUAACAAAUAAAAAAAAUUUACUUUGUAUGGGCACGGGUUGAUGCAAUUACGCGCAAACUCAAAUCUCCAACUGUAAAAAUAAUCGCCUAAUGGAUCAAGGUAAAUUCAAAAUCCAAGCUUGUCAAGCCGAUCUUAGCAUAAAAGUGAUUUUGAAAAUCAGUUUCAAAUUGAACACGGAAACCAAAUCACCAUAUCAUGGUCAGCCAUAAGAAACUAAAAAUUUAGCUUAAAUUCAACAUACUAAAAGUGAAAAGGGAAGCAAGGUCUAGGGAAUUUUGCAUUACCACACAAGGACGUAAAUAAGCACGUAAUUUAAGGCAUUGAAUUAGAAUUUGGACUCAAACAUCACGAAUUUUAUAUUAAAAUGAAAAAAGAACAACUUUCAGUCGAGGGAUGAAAACCUGAGAUCCAUUACGAAAUUUACCGCUCCUUUUCUUGUCAAAUUUUGCCAAAAUAGUCGGAUCACUAGUCGGAGUUCGUGGGUGGAUGGAGUCACAUAUGGAGGUGAGAUUCCAGUGGCUGGCAGCAGGGUUAAAUUAUGGCAGCGAUGGUGGCUUUUCCGGAGGGGUCCCUUGACCGGCAGCGGCGCGUGGAUUAUUUUGUCGGCAGUUGCUGGCAGAUCUGGGGGCGUUUGGAGGCGGCAAUAGCAUUAGCGUUUUGAGGGGCUUCGCCGUCUGACUUUGUCGGUUGCAUGGCUUUGACAGGGAGGCGAGGGAAAGGCGGCAGCGGAGGUAGCUGUUUCAAUGAUGGCUCAUGGCAGAUCUAGGAAUUGUGCAUCGGCGGGGGGUUUGCCGAGGAAAGAGAACGAAGGGAGAGAGGAGAAAGGGGAGUGGUGGAGCGACGGUAGUCUUCCAUCAGAGUGUGAAGGCGAUAGAGGGGCGGCGGUGCCGUGAUGCACUUAAAGGGAUUCCUGACUGGAAAUCAUUAAUCUAGGAGUUAAGAUCGAAGAAGAUGAUAGAUAAAUCAAGGAUUAAUCCGAGAAUGUAGCUAAAAAGAAUUAUAGAGAAAAUAUAGAAGAGAGAAACUUAAGGUAUUAUUCAUGAAUGACUUCUGUGUCUUUCAUCUGAGCUUUUAUAGUUGGAGUGAACUACUAACAUCAAUGUAUUAACAGAGAAAUGGAACUACUAUAGUGUUAAUUAUCUAAGCUAUAGUUAUAACAAAAAUUUAAACUAUAACUGUCUAACUAAUUCUUCAACAACUUGCUUCCUCAAAGUGCCACCUUAGCUCAUUCCUUCAACUUGUAUCAAUACCCCUCCGUAAAGAACAUUCUUGACCUCAAGAAUGGAAAAGAUGGAAAUAUGUUGCACUUUAGACAAGAAAUCCCAAGUAGCUUUUAGACUUGUACAACAUCUAUGCCAGUCUAUUUGAUAAGGACCUGACACACAUCCUCAUUACCUCUUUUGACCAUUCUUCUGUCAAGGAUAUCCUCAGCCAUGGGGUAGUUAUGCUUCCAAAAUUCAUGCUUAAUAAAGUCAUAUUAGAAGGAGCAAAACAGCACAGGGCAAUAUCCUUUAACGAACUUUCUGUCAUCAGUCUUAGGGGCCAAUAAAGCGACUACACCAAAUCUCCUCUUCAUAUAUCUACCCUGUUUUCCUGAUGCUUGUCACUUGCCUUACCGCAGAAGAGGUUACUAUCCUUUAGAAAUUCCUCCAAAAUUUUGCGUAAAAUAGCACCUUUGAAAUGUGUUAAUCUUCCACUACAAUGCAAGUGUUCCCUUCCCGUCAGUAUAUCCUGAAGCAAGUCACAAGGUAGAAACACAUCCAUGAUGCCAUAUCUUCUCUUCAUCACCCUACUAAUAAAAGUAGUUUUGAUUGUAUCAAUUUCACUACGAAUUACAAAAGUUAACACAUCUGGCAGUCUAUGCAUAUUCAUCACCAUCAGUAAUUGUUGUUGCAUCUCCCCUCCAAGGUCAUGUAUAAUGAACCAUGUAAAAGAGACAAUAUUGAGAACUGAAUGUGCAAUGAUUAGCCUUAAAAUGCAACUGACUUGAUGCCACUCCACAUUAAUUGUAUUGCACAACUUGUUCAUGAAUUUUAGACUAUGCUUCAGCUGCCCCAAUUUACUCUUAUAGCCAACAUGGUAACUACAUUGUUUCUAUUUUAGUGAAGCCACAAUAUUCCUUCCACCCUUUUCCAACAUCUCAAAAUUAGCAAGAGCAAGCAUGGCAAGAAAAAGGCUUCAAGGAAUACUCUGAUCAACUGCCUGAAUUAUUUUGUACGAAGCCCCAAGAGAAGUGUAGACCCUUGUCUAGAAGCCACAUAAUAAUUAGUUAGUUGCUCAUAAUGUCUCGAUGUAAUAGCAUGAGAACCCUUACUAUCCAAAGCUACGAGGUAAGCAGCCAUGAAGCUUUUCCAGGAUGCUAUAGCUGCCAAUAUCUUAAAACUCUGAGUGUGCCCAGAAGUUCUCCACAUUUUCCCAUCAUGCCAAACAACAAUGUUAAUGACUGGUAUCUCAUUUUUGUAGGCAGCUAUUUGGCUGCGCAUGAUAUUUACUUUGUCCUGGUGACCUUCAUGGGCUCUUUUUAAAUGUAGAUUUUCACCUGGGAAAAGAUUCUUCCCUGAAGAACUUACCAUCAAAAAAACUUUUUUCCACAUGUAAAAAUCGAUUUCAAUUUUUUCCAAUGUGGGUGCAACAAGACCACUAUUCUCCAUAAAAUUCAAAACAUCCAUGACUUCCAGCUUGCCAUCAUAGGUAAAUUGUAAUCCAGUUAGAACAUCCAAUUCAGUGAUUAAACUGAUAGCGGAAGAAAGAGAGAAAUCAAUAGAAUUGAUUCUUUUUCCCUUUUUAUCAACUUCUCUCCAUGGUUCACCAAUCCCUUUCUUGUCCUUCUCAAUAGCGUAAUUGUUAUCCAUUUUAUCAAUUAUCUAAUUAGGAAAUGCAAUCACAUUCUUUAUUAUCUUUGUACUAAAGCUAUGCAUGUAAUUCUUCAAUUCAGUUCUAUAGUCUAUAUCAAUCAGAACAAUUACCUUAGAAUCACUUGUGCACUCUUUUCCUUUGUCAAUAGGCUUAUAUUAUUAGUGGUCAUCCCAAUCUCUAUGUUAACAGUCUCUUCCUCCACACCCACUGAUUUAUCUUCGCCUAUCAGAGUACCCUGUGAGCCAACUAUCAUCAUGAGAGGUUCCACUUUGUCAUACUUUCUGUGUCUAGGCUCCAGCAACAUCUGAGGAAUAGGGCUCAUUUUCUCCUGUGAAAUAUCUUCUUUCUCUAUUGCUUCACAUUCUCAUUGAUCGACAAGAAGAAGAGAACCCAAAUUGUCAAAAAACAUCCCUACUCCACCAGUGGGUAGUUUAUCAUCCUUAUACAACCCUGUUCUCAGAUCUUGACAAGAAAACUUAGGGAAAUCCAGUUUAGAACAUCGAGAAAGAAAUUUACUACAAUUAGUUUGACUUUCCUUAGUUGUAUUGAAGUGUGCUUGAUCUCUAGAACAGUCUCCAACAAUAGAAGCUUUAGCCCUACCAAGUUCCACUUCUUUUUCUUGUUCCAUCAUGUUUCCCAGUGCUUGUUUCAUUUCCCUCAACUCUUUAUUUGUCUAUGCAGUCCUAUCGGUCAUGCUCGUCAUAACCUCUAAGAGUUUCUACAAUUGGUCUUGAAUCUGUGAAUGCUUGUCAUCUAUUUCUAUUGUUGGUCCUUCUUGAUUCUUGUCCUGAGUCAUUAUCAUGCCAAGAAUCGGACUGUUUUGAUAGCACUUAAAGGGAUUCGUGACUGGAAAUCAUUAAUCUAGGAGCUAAGCUCAAAGAAUAUGAUAGCUAAAUCAAGGAUUAAUCCAAGAAUGUAGCUAAAAAAAAUUAUAGAGAAAAUAUCGAAGAGAGAAACUUGAGCUAUUAUUCAUGAAUAAUUACGGUGUCUUUCAUCUGAGCUUUUAUAGUUGGAGUGAACUACUAACAUCAAUGUAUUAACAGAGAAAUGGAACUACUAUAGUGUUAACUACCAAAGCUACAGUUAUAACAGAAAUUUAAACUAUAACUGUCUAACUAAUUCUUCAACAACUUGCUUCCUCAAAGUGCCAGCUUAGCUCAUUCCUCCAACUUGUAUCACGCCUCUAUUGAUGGUGAAGAGGUCUGAGAGAGAGAGAGAGGUAGAUGGUGAGUGAAGA
rnacentral:lncRNA from 1 species